GAGCUGCUAGGUCUAUUCAUCUGAAGAUUAUUACAUAUAAUGAGGCUUCAUGCUGAGACUUCAGCAACUCUCCUGAGAGAGCACUGCAUCUGUGGGUAGGUCCCGGGACACUGCCAGCAUGGAGGAAAGAUACCCUGAGUAAAAAGGAACAACCAGACUUUGUGAAGUUGCAUCUACCAGCAGCUGGAAAUGGAUUCAAAUUCAGGUACUGUGUCUGAUCUACUUGAUAAGAGUGAAGAAAUUCUCUGUAAUAGCUGUACAGACCUGGAUUAGUCUCCUCCUGUGCACAAAGUGUCCACUCAGCCAAAGGCAGCCCCUUGAAGCUCCUCCAUGGAGGAAAAGCUGCUGCUGUGGGACGGGCUGUGGUGCUGCUCAGGGUGGCGGCUGAGGUCAGACUGUGGUACCUGCUCUGCAAGAGUUCCUGUGCCUGUGGUCUUUGAGCUCUCCCUGACCCUGAGAUGGUCAUCUGGUUUGCCAAGAACUGCUGUGAUAAAGAGGAGGCUGUUUUGUUUGUGCUCUGCAUCUGUGGCAGAAUUUGCUGUAUUGUGUAUGCACCCAGGAAGUGCAUACACUUCCCACUGAACAUGAUCAAGCACCUAAAAUACAAAGUCAAAAACAACAGGAAAUUACACAGGAGGAAAGCAAGUGUAUACUCUAGCCUUAAACAAAGAGCUGGCAGAAACUGCUCCAAAGUGAUCUGAUGAUUUAAAGAAUUAUAGGGUAUUGUGACAAAGAAUGAGAAAGAGGAAAAAAGGAGAGGGAAUAGUCUACAAUCACAAAAAGCAGAUAACAUCUCAAAAGCUUUUGUCAUAGCCCUUUUUUUUUGUUCCUUCACUCACUCUCAAUACUAAGACUGUAUUUUAUGCUGUUGUAAAAACUUUUUGCAGUAUCUGGUUCUUGCCCUGAACAUCACUUCAAGCCAUGUUCUCCACAAAAAUAGGUAAAAAUGGGAUAUUUGACAACACUCCAUCCAUGACUCUACAUCAUUUUCUAGUAUUUGUUUGUUAAACUGUACUGACUGACUUCUCAUCUCAGGCUUCUUGAUCAAGUACCAUAAUGCCCACAUCAUCACUUUUUUACUGUUUCCUUUUCAUUGUUACUGUUUGGACUGUGUUGUAAUCUUUAAUUUAUUGGUGGCAUCUUUCAUAAAUGAUAGUUUAAAUGUUCUUGUAAUAUUGGCACUGGCCACAGUAACGUUCUUUUUCUUACAGUGCACAGAAAAAAGUUUAUCUGUGGCCUGUUAACACAGUGUUUGAGGUCAGACAGGCUACAGAAAAAUAAUAAAAAUAAUGUCUUGUUUCUUACACAGUGUUUCCAACAGCAUAAUCUUCAGAGAUAAUAGUGGGAUAUUAAAUGUUCUUCACUGUCUUACACAAUCAAAAUCUCCGCCCUGAGGUUUGCAGUCUUGGAAGAACAGUCAAAACACCUACUUUAGACCACUGGCAUUUCACAGUGUUGUUUUCUGUAAUAAUAAAAACAGUAGUUAACCAUAAACCUAUUAUUAUUAUUGUCCAGCACAUGGAAAGGAGCUACUGCUGUUUGACCCAUCAGCCAAUUUAUCCCUUCAAAUAGCAAGGUUUAACCCAACAAAUUAGUCCUUAAGAUCUGAACACCCUGAAUGCUUUUGCACUAGGAAGUGAAUGUAUGAGUCCUUGUAGCAACAGACUUUAUGUUCACAUUGCUUUUGCAUAUGCUGGCUUGCUGGAGCUAAUAUUAGCCUGUGUAAGAGACUGAGCACACAAUUAGACAGCAGUUCAACUACAUCAAGAUGCACCACAAUCCUAUUUCAUCCUGAUCAAUUAUUUUUUCCCAAACCCAGCUGAAGGAAUAACUUGCCUUCCUGUCUCCCAUGCCACAGAGGUCACUCUCCAGGAGGGAAUCAGACUGAUAUUAACCUUUGGAGGACUUUCCCUCUUGUCUCCCCUGUGCUCUGUCACUGUUUAGGCUGCCAGCCUGGAAAGUCUGGGAAGAUGAACAGGAGAAUGUGGGUUUGGACAAUGAGACUUCCUCAGUAAAAUAAUUUUGCACUGAACCUAAAAUAUGCAAACUGUGGGAGUCUACAACAGGCAUUUGAAUCUGUGCACUGAUAAAAGCAGCUUGGUUGGGAUUUGACUGUGUUUCAUCACAAUGAAAAGUAAAACUCCCUGAGAAGGGAAGAGGGAGGAUAGGAUCAGCUUAUUUCAAAGCGAGCUACAAGCACCUUUGAAAUUCUGUAAUCUUUAGGUUCGACUCACACUCCAGAGCUCUCCUUAAGCAGUUCUCCACCAGGUGAUGCAGAACCAUCCAGAUGUCUGUCCAUUAGCUGCUUCUGUACU